UACGGAGGGGGCAAGCGUUAUUCGCCAUUACUGGGCGUAAAGCGCACGUAGGCGGCCCUGCAAGUCGUAGGUGAAAGCCCUCGGCUCAACCGAGGAACUGCCUUCGAAACUGCUUGGCUUGAGUCCGGGAGGGGGGAGCGGAAUUCCCAGUGUAGCGGUGAAAUGCGUAGAUACUGGGAGGAACACCGGUGGCGAAGGCGGCUCCCUGGACCGGUACUGACGCUGAGGUGCGAAAUCGUGGGUAGCAAACAGG
rnacentral:rRNA from 1 species